rnacentral:rRNA from 1 species
CCUACGGGAGGCAGCAGUGGGGAAUUUUGGACAAUGGGCGAAAGCCUGAUCCAGCAAUGCCGCGUGUGUGAAGAAGGCCUUCGGGUUGUAAAGCACUUUUGUCCGGAAAGAAAUCCUUGACUCUAAUACAGUCGGGGGAUGACGGUACCGGAAGAAUAAGCACCGGCUAACUACGUGCCAGCAGCCGCGGUAAUACGUAGGGUGCGAGCGUUAAUCGGAAUUACUGGGCGUAAAGCGUGCGCAGGCGGUUUGCUAAGACCGAUGUGAAAUCCCCGGGCUCAACCUGGGAACUGCAUUGGUGACUGGCAGGCUAGAGUAUGGCAGAGGGGGGUAGAAUUCCACGUGUAGCAGUGAAAUGCGUAGAGAUGUGGAGGAAUACCGAUGGCGAAGGCAGCCCCCUGGGCCAAUACUGACGCUCAUGCACGAAAGCGUGGGGAGCAAACAGGAUUAGAUACCCUGGUAGUCCACGCCCUAAACGAUGUCAACUAGUUGUUGGGGAUUCAUUUCCUUAGUAACGUAGCUAACGCGUGAAGUUGACCGCCUGGGGAGUACGGUCGCAAGNUUAAAACGUUAAGGAAUUGACGG